rnacentral:rRNA from 1 species
CGGCAAUAGCUCAAAUUUGAAAUCUGGCUCUUUCAGAGUCCGAGUUGUAAUUUGUAGAAGAUGCUUCGGCUUACGUAUCGGUCUAAGUUCCUUGGAACAGGACGUCACAGAGGGUGAGAAUCCCGUUUGUGGCCGGUACUUCCGCCAUGUGAAGCUCCUUCGAC